UACAGGGGGUGCAAACGUUGCUCGGAAUCAUUGGGCGUAAAGCGCACGUAGGCGGUUCGUUAUGUCGGAUGUGAAAGCCCUUGGCUUAACCGAGGAAGUGCAUCCGAAACUGGCGAGCUAGAGUACUAAAGAGGAUCGCGGAAUUCCCGGUGUAGAGGUGAAAUUCGUAGAUAUCGGGGGGAACAUCAGUGGCGAAAGCGGCACCCUGGCAUUUGCCUGACGCUCAUGUGCGAAAGCGUGGGGAGCGAACGGG
rnacentral:rRNA from 1 species